rnacentral:rRNA from 1 species
UGCGGUGACGUUAGCGGUGAGGUCCCACCUGUUCUCAUACCGAACACAGUAGUUAAGCUCACUUGCGCCAACAAUACUUGACUGGAGACGGUCCGGGAAGAUAGGUUGUUGCUGCUU